rnacentral:rRNA from 1 species
UACGUAGGGGGCGAGCGUUGUCCGGAUUUAUUGGGCGUAAAGAGCGUGUAGGCGGUUCGGUAAGUCUGUCGUGAAAUCCUGAGGCUCAACCUCGGACGUGCGAUGGAUACUGCCGGGCUAGAGGAUGGUAGAGGCGAGUGGAAUUCCCGGUGUAGCGGUGAAAUGCGCAGAUAUCGGGAGGAACACCCGUAGCGAAGGCGGCACUCUGGGCCGAUACUGACACUGAGGAGCGAAAGCGUGGGGAGCGAACAGG